ensembl:miRNA cin-mir-4158 cin-mir-4158
UGCCCGAUGAUGUUAUUGUUUUGCAUGUAUUAACUUAACGCAGAUAUGUGGAGUUCAUUUCACACUGAGGGCAUGAACUGUUUUAAAUGUUGUUGCUUUUGCAAACAUAUAACACACUAGCC